rnacentral:rRNA from 1 species
AUUGAACGCUGGCGGCAGGCCUAACACAUGCAAGUCGAACGAGUGGCGGACGGGUGAGUAAUGUAUGGGAAACUGCCUGAUGGAGCGGGAUAACUACUGGAAAAGGUAGCUAAUACCGCAUACCAUCAGAUGGGCCCAGAUGGGGUUAGGUAGUUGGGGGGGUAACGGCUCACCAAGGCGACGAUCCCUAGCUGGUCUGAGAGGAUGACCAGCCACACUGGAACUGAGACACGGGCCAGACUCCUACGGGAGGCAGCAGUGGGGAAUAUUGGACAAUGGGCGCAAGCCUGAUGCAGCCAUGCCGCGUGUAUGAAGAAGGCCUUCGGGUUGUAAAGCACUUUCAGCGGGGAGGCGUUACCCGCAGAAGAAGCACCGGCUAACUCCGUGCCAACAGCCGCGGUAAUAC